UAUUAUAUGCCUUAUAAUUGUCAUAAAUUGUUAUAUUCAUAUAUAAUGGAUUGUUGAAGUUUUUCUGUGCAUUAGCGUUUUGGUAGCAUUCGACAUAAAACCAGUUUAAUGUAAACAUAACAAAGAUUUCAAGAUCAACGCUUUCACACUAUUUACAUCCAAUAAAAUACGCUGGAAUGAAAUUACUUUCAGGCUUACACACGCCGGUGAAUUUGUUAUUUUGCAUUGUUGCAUUUCCAACUUUAAAGAAUCAAAUCAUUACUCCUAUAGUAAAAUAACAGUGAAAUAUUUAAGAUAUAAAUCAUCGUGUAUACACUUUUAGCAUAUUUUUUAUGAUUCCGAUGACGGCGAAAUAGCCAUUGCCCCC
rnacentral:lncRNA from 1 species